rnacentral:rRNA from 1 species
UACGUAGGGGGCGAGCGUUGUCCGAAGUUACUGGGCGUAAAGGGCGCGCAGGCGGCUCAUUUUGUCAGGCGUGAAAGCCCCGGGCUUAACCUGGGAACUGCGUUUGAGACGGAUGGGCUAGAGUUCGGGAGAGGAGAGUGGAAUUCCCAGUGUAGAGGUGAAAUUCGUAGAUAUUGGGAAGAACACCGGUGACGAAGGCGGCUCUCUGGACCGAUACUGACGCUGAGGCGCGAAAGCGUGGGGAGCAAACAGG